AGUGAACGCUGGCGGUAGGCCUAACACAUGCAAGUCGAACGAUGAACUUGGAGCUUGCUCUGGGGGAUUAGUGGCGAACGGGUGAGUAACACGUGAGUAACCUGCCCUGGACUCUGGGAUAACUUCGAGAAAUCGGAGCUAAUACCGGAUAGGACCUUGCACCGCAUGGUGUGGGGUGGAAAGUUUUUCGGUUUGGGAUGGACUCGCGGCCUAUCAGCUUGUUGGUGAGGUAAUGGCUCACCAAGGCGUCGACGGGUAGCCGGCCUGAGAGGGUGACCGGCCAGACUGGGACUGAGACACGGACCAGCGUCCUACGGGAGGCAGCAGUGGGGAAUAUUGCACAAUGGGCGCAAGCCUGAUGCAGCAACGCCGCGGGCGGGAUGACGGCCUUCGGGUUGUAAACCGCUUUUAGUAGGGAAGAAGCCUUCGGGUGACGGUACCUGCAGAAAAAGGACCGGCUAACUACGUGCCAGCAGCCGCCGCGGUAA
rnacentral:rRNA from 1 species